GACGAACGCUGGCGGCGUGCUUAACACAUGCAAGUCGAGCGGUAAGGCCCUUUCGGGGGUACACGAGCGGCGAACGGGUGAGUAACACGUGGGUGACCUGCCCUCAGCUCUGGGAUAAGCCUGGGAAAACCGGGUCUAAUACCGGAUAUGACUCCAUGACGCAUGUUGUGGGGUGGAAAGCCUUGUGCGGCUGAGGAUGGGCCCGCGGCCUAUCAGCUUGUUGGUGGGGUGAUGGCCUACCAAGGCGACGACGGGUAGCCGGCCUGAGAGGGCGACCGGCCACACUGGGACUGAGACACGGCCCAGACUCCUACGGGAGGCAGCAGUGGGGAAUCUUGCGC
rnacentral:rRNA from 1 species